rnacentral:rRNA from 1 species
AUGUGGUUUAAUUCGAUGAUACGCGAGGAACCUUACCCGGGCUUGAAAGUUAGUGACCGGUGGUGAAAGCCACUUCUCCAGCAAUGGACACGAAACUAGGUGCUGCAUGGUUGUCGUCAGCUCGUGCCGUGAGGUGUCGGGUUAAGUCCCAUAACGAGCGCAACCCCUGUCGUUAGUUGCUAGCAGGUAAUGCUGAGGACUCUAACGAGACUGCCGGUGUAAACCGAGAGGAAGGUGGGGAUGACGUCAAAUCAGCACGGCCCUUACGUCCGGGGCGACACACGUGUUACAAUGGAUGGUACAAAGGGUUGCGACAUAGUGAUAUGAAGCCAAUCUCAAAAAGCCAUUCUCAGUUCGGAUCGCAGGCUGAAACUCGCCUGCGUGAAGUUGGAUUCGCUAGUAAUCGUAUAUCAGCCAUGAUACGGUGAAUACGUUCCCGGGCCUUGUACACACCGCCCGUCAAGCCAUGGAAGUUGGGGGUGCCUGAAGUACGUGUGCGUCAAGCAGCGUCCUA